GGGAAUGUAGAUCAAGUAGAUCUCUUUCCUUUUGGAAAGUGAUAUAGGUUCAAAUCCCAUCAUUCCCA
rnacentral:tRNA from 1 species